UAACGCGUGGGAAUCUGCCCUGGAGUGGGGGAUAACCGAGGGAAACCUCGGCUAAUACCGCAUACGUCCUUCGGGAGAAAGAUUUAUCGCCCGAGGAGGGGCCCGCGUCGGAUUAGCUAGUUGGUGAGGUAACGGCUCACCAAGGCGAUGAUCCGUAGCUGGUCUGAGAGGAUGAUCAGCCACACUGGGACUGAGACACGGCCCAGACUCCUACGGGAGGCAGCAGUGGGGUUUAUUGGACAAUGGGGGCAACCCUGAUCCAGCAAUGCCGCGUUAGUGAUGAAGGCCUUAGGGUUGU
rnacentral:rRNA from 1 species